UCAUUCAGCCGAGUUUGGCGAGUCGUUGUGAAAAAUGUCCAGUAAGGUACAUAUCGACUGAUAUUUAUAAAUAUCAACAUUGCUAUGAUUUGGUGAGAGGCAGUUCUAAAGAAACUUCUGUAAACAAGAUCGAUAAUCAAAACAGAAUCGUGAUAGACAAAAAUCGUUGGAACAUAAUCCUUGCUCUAUUGGUAGUUUUGGCUGUUUUUGUAUUUGUGAUAGCUAUCGGGGUUAUAUUUAUAAUAAUCCGAUUGAAACAACUCGCAUCUAGGAAAAGUGGAUCUGGAGAGGGAUUGCUGAAACUGUCCUGCACUGAC